rnacentral:rRNA from 1 species
UACGAGGGGGGCGAGCGUUGUUCGGAAUUAUUGGGCGUAAAGGGUGCGUAGGCGGUUUGGUAAGUCUGAUGUGAAAUCUAUGGGCUCAACUCAUAGUCUGCAUCGGAAACUGCCGGGCUUGAGUGUGGGAGAGGUGAGUGGAAUUCCUGGUGUAGCGGUGAAAUGCGUAGAUAUCAGGAGGAACACCUGUGGCGAAAAGCGGCUCACUGGACCAUAACUGACGCUGAUGCACGAAAAGCUAGGGGGAGCAAACAGGAUU